CAUUAGCCUAUUAAUUGUAGGCUGGCAUCAACGGUUAGACGACAAAAAAUCUGUCUUUUUCUUUAUAACCUUAACUUGACAUUUAAGUGAAGAGGCUUAAAUCAGGCAGCGGGACGAGAAGACCCUAUUGAGCUUUAGGGCUGCUAUUUUUGUUUUUAAGAUAGAGUUUUUGGGUUGGGGCAACCAUUUCUACAGUUUAACAGAAAUAAAAGUAAAGUUGAAUCAAAUCUUUCUUAGACCCGGAAAUAUUCCGGAAAUUGGAAAAAGUUACCUUAGGGAUAACAGCGUAAUU
rnacentral:rRNA from 1 species